ensembl:lincRNA
AUUCUUUCAGCUAUGCCAUGAAACAAUACCAUAAGUGGCCUCACUUCAGAAAUGGGGGAAACUGAGGCAGGAUGCUUUAAAAGUCAUAUAGCCAAGAGCUCACAGCUAGUAAGUUGCAGAGCCAAGAUUGAAUGAAAGUUCACACACGAGUCAUCGUGCCCAUCUCUGUCUUGUGUCUUUGGUUCUUGUGUCUUGUGUGUUAGGGUAGGUGGCAGCCAGGAGCUCCAGGUUUUUCCUCUACAGUGUUCUGCUCCCUUAAGAAGUUUUUUUUUUUUUUUUUUUUUUUUGUGCUCCAGAGAACAUCAAAUAGGGAUGGGACUCGUGUGUGUUCCUGUGCAUGCCCGUGAGCCUCCAGCGGAUGCUGCGUGGAAGAUGUGUGUGCCGCUGAUUUAUAACCAUCGGAGAAAACAGAACUGCAAAUCUCACCCACAAAUCUUCCUUAUCGGGAUGCUUGCAACAAGCAGACACAUCAUGAAUUCCCUGGAACAGGCAGGCCUCCUCCUAGCCUUGGUUCCCGCCAGCUGACUGCUCCCCUAGGCUUGCGGGAGAGCCAUGGAUUGGUUCCAUGAGGUCCCUCUGGCUGCCCACAGAAGGCCAGCUCACUCAGGAAGUAGUGGUCCAUCAGAAAUGCUGGCUCCCCAGUGAUGAAGUCUGGGAGAGCUCCAAGGACCCCCACCCCCGGCUGCUUGAAGCAUGCUGGCUGCCCUGCUCCAAUCCUGACUGCUCAGCUGUUGAAGCAACAGCCAGAAGAGCAGAGACCCCCUAAGCAAACAUAACAAUCAGCCAGCAUCAAGAUGUGGCCAUCAGCUCUUCUAACAUGACCCCAGGUGGAGGCUCCAAGAACCACUUUCAUAACUUGGGUUCCAGAUCUGAGCCCAGAGGUUUGCCUGACUCGAGAGAUCCAGUGCUCAGAACCAUUCCGGCAUGUUUCUUGAGUCACGGGUUCCGCACGUCCUCAAGCCUCUGUCUUAGACCCUAUCACUGGCAUAUAUAUUUUACCUGUAUACUUCAGAGGGGCUGGACCACCCCACAGGUGUGUACCCGCACCCCAAUGUGUACACAAUGCACCCCUGGGAGACUGUUCUGCUCAUACAGAGUACAGCUUACAUUGUCUUCUUACAUUGUUCACGCUAGGUCCCAGCGCAUGGAAGGACAAGCACAAUCCAGGUGAGGUAAACUAGUCAGGCACAGGCUUCCCCACCAUCUUGGAUUGCUGAGUGGUCCCCAUGAGACUGACCAUUAGGGUAUCCAUGGGUAGCAGGAGUGGCCCCAUCUUGGCUCUGCCUUAGCCUGCUGUGUAGUAGGCCUCUCUGAUUAUCAAUGUGUAUGUGUGUAUGUGUGUGUGGUGUGUGUGUGUGUGUGUGUGUAUGUUGGGGGGUUCCCUCCUGCCUCUCCUUCCUGUCUGGGGGAAGAGACAGCAGGUGGAGUCUGACUAGCAGAGAGUCAGUCACAGGCUUGUGAGAAAGAGACAAACCUUGAAGCCACCAAGUUCUUAGUCUACCAUGGCAAGCACAGGCUGGGCAGUGCCAGCUGGAAUGGCCAGUCCUUCUUGCCAACGGUCAGAUCUGAGGUGGCUCAAUGCCACAAAGAGCGAGUAGGAUGUAGGAGCUGGGCAGAACAAGACUCUACGUCUAGCUGUGUGACCUCCGCUUUCCCUUUUCACGUCUCUGGACUCUCUUUGGUACAAUCAAGUUCCCCACGCUCUUUUUGAGUUCUACCUCAGGGGUCCGGAAUCCCUUGCUUCUACAAACACACAGCCAGGGCUGGCAAGUCAUAUAGACCAGUUAUCCAAGCAUUCAGAAACGGAGACAAUAGGACUGCUGAGAGCUGUGGGCAUUCCUGGGUUACAUACUGCCUCCAAGUCCAGCUUGGUUUGCAUAACAUGACUGUCUUUAAGAAAGUAACUGGGCUGGAGAGAUGGCUCAGUGGUUAAGAGCACUGACUGCUCUUGCAGAGGUCCUGAGUUCAAAUCCCAGCAACCACAUGGUGGCUCACAACCCUCUGUAAUGGGAUCUGAUGCCCUCUUCUGGUGUGUCUGAAGACAGCAACAGGGUACUUGCAUACAUGAAAUAGGUAAAUCUUAAAAAGAAAGAAAGAAAAAGAAAAUAACUAACAGCAAAUAAGUAAAGCCUGCUGACGGGUCAAAAUAAUUCUGACCUUCUGCUACCAAUGAUUCUCUUUAGGUUGCUGCUGGGGCAGGUGUGGUGGUGGCUGCACGCAGUAGGCUCUUUAUAAAUGUGUAUCUCCCUUCUCUGCUUCCUCCAUGUAUCCCUGAUCUCCAGCCCGGUGACAGCAUCAUUUAGGAAGUUUUCCAUAAUGAGGCUGUAGGUGGCUGCUCUGACCAUAUUGCCUUUCUCUAGCUCUGGGCAUGCCUGUCCUUCAGGAAUGGAAACUGAGGCCUGAGCAGGGGUGGUCUGGUCAGCAGGCAGGGCCGUCUAAAUAGAGUAGAGACAUACUGGGGCCUCAUGGCCCACAGUGGCCACCCUUCUAGUCUCCCCAGUCUUCUCCCAGGCAGGAAGCCAAAAGGACUCCUGCCGAGCCUGGCCUUCCUCUCCCAUAAGUCAAUCACCUGGGAGGCCAGUGGCCCUCUGCCUAGUCAGGCUGACAGAUGACGGGGAGGGAGAGGAAGCUUGCCAGGGAGCCAGUGGGGGUGGGAAGGCCAAGGUGGAAAAAAUCAGAGCAGGGUUUGAAAGAUGAAGAAAUAAACCUGCCAGGAGGGAGACAGCCUCAAUCUGUCCUCCAUAAAGCUGUCUUAGGGCCACCAAGGACGUCGGCGGAUGGAGGGGACCGGAGAUAGCUCCUCCUGGAACCUCUGCUGCCCCCACAGCCCAGCUGGCCUCCAGACCUGACUUGGUGAUGGUUUCAAAGAGGGGCCUGGCUGGGUUUCUAGGGUAUAGCGGGUGAAAGGAGGGGAAGGUAGGGGACCUGAGCCAGCCCCCCCCCCUUUUGGCUUUCCUAACGAUUUGCACACAGAAGGCAUUCAAUAUUGACAUCUGGACCAAGUGAAUGGAGGAAGGCUUUGUCAUGUUUGCAGUUAACAGACAGACAGAGCUUGGGCACAGCUGAGUUGGCUCCAGGGUGACCCACAGGCAACCUAUGUCAAACUGCAAAACAGAACCUCUUGGUACCCAGCUC